rnacentral:rRNA from 1 species
CAGGACGAACGCUGGCGGCAUACCUAACACAUGCAAGUCGAACGGAACUUAUUGAAUGAAGUUUUCGGAUGGAUUUUAGAAGUUUAGUGGCGGACGGGUGAGUAACGCGUGAGCAACCUGCCUUUCAGAGGGGGACAACAGUUGGAAACGACUGCUAAUACCGCAUAACGUAUCGGAACCGCAUGGCUCUGAUACCAAAGAUUUAUCGCUGAAAGAUGGGCUCGCGUACGAUUAGAUAGUUGGUGAGGUAACGGCUCACCAAGUCGACGAUCGUUAGCCGGACUGAGAGGUUGAACGGCCACAUUGGGACUGAGACACGGCCCAGACUCCUACGGGAGGCAGCAGUGGGGAAUAUUGCACAAUGGGCGAAAGCCUGAUGCAGCAACGCCGCGUGAGUGAAGAAGUUAUUCGUAAUGUAAAGCUCUAUCAGCAGGGAAGAAAAUGACGGUACCUGACUAAGAAGCCCCGGCUAACUACGUG